CAAGUACUCCCUCCGUCCCAAAAUUCUUGUCUUAGAUUUGUCUAGAUAUGAAUGUAUCUAAUACUAAAACAUGACUUGAUACAUCCGUAUCUAGACAAAUCUAAGACAAGAAUUUUGGGAUGGAGGGAGUAUCUG
rnacentral:pre_miRNA from 1 species